rfam:Flavobacteriaceae bacterium JJC contig07, whole genome shotgun sequence.
UAGGGUGGUUUUAGCAGAGGGGCUCACCUGUUCCCAUUCCGAACACAGAAGUUAAGCCCUCUAGCGCCGAUGGUACUGCGAAAGCGGGAGAGUAGGUCGCCGCCAGUU